UUCGCAAUGCCCGAAAGGGUGACGAAGCGACGCCGCGUGUGGGAAGAAGGCUCUAGGGUUGUAAACCACUGUCAGGAGUUAAGAAAUGUAAAGGUGUUAAUAGCGCCUUUAUUUGACGAAGGCUCCAGAGGAAGCCACGGCUAACUCUGUGCCAGCAGCCGCGGUAAUACAGAGGUGGCAAGCGUUGUUCGGAAUUAUUGGGCGUAAAGAGCACGUAGGCGGUCCUGCAAGUCUGUUGUGAAAUCCUUCCGCUUAACGGGAGAACGGCAGCUGAUACUACAGGACUAGAGUACGGGAGGGGAGAGUGGAACCUCUGGUGGAGCGGUGAAAUGCGUAGAUAUCAGAAGGAACGCCGGCGGCGAAAGCGACUCUCUGGCCCGAAACUGACGCUGAGUGUGCGAAAGCUAGGGGAGCAAACGGGAUUAGAUACCCCGGUAGUCCUAGCCGUAAACGAUGGGCACUAAGUAGAGGGGUUUU
rnacentral:rRNA from 2 species